ensembl:lncRNA
AAAAAAAGCAAAUAAAAUAAAAACAAAAAAAUAAACUGUAUUAAAAAAAAAUCCCCAGAACACAGCUGCUAAAUAUAUGUUUAUUAUGAGCAAAAAGACUUGAAGGAGAGGAAAAAAAGACCUCUAUUUUUCAAACCAUUUUCUUUGCUUUCCAGACUUUCAUCUAUCACCAAUAAUGAGAGUGGAAUGGAUAACAAAACAGAACAUAAAGAUGUCAGAGAUGUGUCCACCACAUGAAAGUGAUAUCAUUCUUUUCAUAUUAACAUGGCCUUUACUAACAGGACUUCCAGAUGUGCUUAAACUGGAAGAGUGGCUGAUACCCAGAGUGCUGUGCUGCCAUUCAGAAGGAUCUUGACAGAGAGAAGGGCGGAGAAAAACACCGUGAAAUUCAACAAAGGCUUGAAAUGACUUUCUUGCUCCUGGCAAAGCCUGCAAACACAGGUUACUUCAAUACUGGCUGCAUCACUACAGUAUUACUAUGUCAAGCUUCUUCAACGUAGUCUCCUCUCUGGUUCCUCAAGCAAAGCCAUGUAAAUUCACAGGGACCCAACCCAAAGUCCCACACAUCCAGGAAUUUAUGGUGUAGAUAUGCCCACACAAUCUGGAAAGCAAGUUGCACAGAGCCAGAAGAAGUUAACAGCAAUGGGUAUAUUCUCACUUAUCUUCACAUUGAUCUCACGCUACGGUAUGCGUGGUA